CUUCGGUUACGAUCGGUGACAGGUGGUGGCAUGGUUGUCGUCAGCUCGUGUCGUGAGAUGUUGGUUAAGUCCCGCAACGAGCGCAACCCCUAUUGUUAGUUGCCAUCAUUCAGUUGGGCACUCUAGCGAGACUGCCGGUAAUAAACCGGAGGAAGGUGGGGAUGACGUCAAAUCAUCAUGCCCCUUAUGACCUGGGCUACACACGUGCUACAAUGGUUGGUACAACGAGUUGCGAGUCGGUGACGGCGAGCUAAUCUCUUAAAGCCAAUCUCAGUUCGGAUUGUAGGCUGCAACUCGCCUACAUGAAGUCGGAAUCGCUAGUAAUCGCGGAUCAGCACGCCGCGGUGAAUACGUUCCCGGGCCUU
rnacentral:rRNA from 1 species